UAUUGAUAGUACCUUGCUACAUGGAUACCUGUGGUAAUUCUAGAGCUAAUACAUGCUAAAAACCUCGACUUCGGGAGGGGUGUAUUUAUUAGAUAAAAAACCAAUGCCCUCCGGGGCUCCUUGGUGAAUCAUAAUAACUCAACGAAUCGCAUGGCCUUGCGCCGGCGAUGGUUCAUUCAAAUUUCUGCCCUAUCAACUUUCGAUGGUAGGAUAGUGGCCUACCAUGGUGGCAACGGGUAACGGGGUAUUAGGGUACUAUACCGGAGAGGGAGCCUGAGAAACGGCUACCACAUCCAAGGAAGGCAGCAGGCGCGCAAAUUACCCAAUCCCGAUCCGGGGAGGUAGUGACAAUAAAUACUGAUACAGGGCUCUUUUGGGUCUUGUAAUUGGAAUGAGUACAAUUUAAAUCCCUUAACGAGGAACAAUUGGAGGGCAAGUCUGGUGCCAGCAGCCGCGGUAAUUCCAGCUCCAAUAGCGUAUAUUAAAGUUGUUGCAGUUAAAAAGCUCGUAGUUGAACCUUGGGCCUGGCUGGCCGGUCCGCCUCACCGCGUGUACUGGUCCGGCCGGGCCUUUCCUUCUGGGGAGCCGCAUGCCCUUCACUGGGCGUGUCGGGGAACCAGGACUUUUACUGUGAAAAAAUUAGAGUGUUCAAAGCAGGCCUUUGCUCGAAUACAUUAGCAUGGAAUAAUAGAAUAGGACGUGCGGUUCUAUUUUGUUGGUUUCUAGGGCCGCCGUAAUGAUUAAUAGGGAUAGUCGGGGGCAUUAGUAUUCAAUUGUCAGAGGUGAAAUUCUUGGAUUUAUUGAAGACUAACUACUGCGAAAGCAUCUGCCAAGGAUGUUUUCAUUAAUCAGGAACGAAAGUUAGGGGAUCGAAGACGAUCAGAUACCGUCGUAGUCUUAACCAUAAACUAUGCCG
rnacentral:rRNA from 1 species